rfam:Ovis aries breed Texel chromosome 14, whole genome shotgun sequence.
UCCCUGGUGGCUCAGAGGUUUAAGCAUCUGCCUGCAAUGUGGGAGACCUGGGUUCGAUCCCCGGGUCGGGAA